rnacentral:misc_RNA from 1 species
CUUGAUGCUCUUUACAAGAAGGUAAAAUUCUUUGGGAUUAUCUUGAAUUCUUGAUGCUUUGGUUGCAAAAUUGUUUGCAAGAAGUUAUAUUGUUAAGUUCCAUGACAUAGCUCGCUAAAAAAUAUUUUAGCAAUCAGGCACACCAAGUAAUUUUGAAUGCUUGAGAUUAAUAGUUUGCUUAGACUGGUAAUUGGUGAAUUGAUAGAAAGUUUUUCUAUUUAGAGUCUUCAGACAAUUUUUUAUGUUUGCAUUUAAUACUUACAUGCUUAGACCUGUAAACUUGUUGAUGCUAUGUUCUCAUAAAUUAUUCUUUAGCAAUAUGCUUGGUGCUUUUCAGAGGAAGG